GAUGAACGCUGGCGGCGUGCCUAACACAUGCAAGUCGAGCGGACGGACGAUACUCUUGCUGCUCUGAUGUUAGCGGCGCACGGGUGUGUAACACGUGUAUAACCUACCUAUAUGACUGGUAUCACUUCGGGAAACCGGAUCUAAUCCCGGAUAAGAUUUUGAACCGCGUGGGUCAAUGGUGAAAUACGGUCUUUCUGUCACGUAUAGAUGGAUCUCCGCUUCAUGAUCUGGUUGUUAAGGUACCGGGCUACCACGGCAACAAUGCCUAGCCGACGGGUGAGGGGGGUCGGCGACCCGGGAAGUGAGACACGGUCAAGGCUACUACGGGAGGCAGCAGUAGGGUAUCUGCCGCAAUGGGGGAAAGCCUGACGGAGCAGCGCCGCGUGAGAGGUGAAGGUCUUCGGAGCGUAAAAAUCUGUUAUGAGGGAAGAACAGAUGUGUCAGUAGCUGUGGACAUCUUGACGGUACCUAAUCAGAAAGCACCGGCUAACUACGUG
rnacentral:rRNA from 1 species